rnacentral:rRNA from 1 species
UACGUAGGGGGGCUAGCGUUGUCCGGAAUCAUUGGGCGUAAAGAGCGUGUAGGCGGCCCGAUAAGUCCGCUGUGAAAGUCCAGGGCUCAACCCUGGAAUGCCGGUGGAUACUGUCGGGCUCGAAUCCGGAAGAGGUGAGUGGAAUUCCUGGUGUAGCGGUGAAAUGCGCAGAUAUCAGGAGGAACACCAAUGGCGAAGGCAGCUCACUGGGACGGUAUUGACGCUGAGACGCGAAAGCGUGGGGAGCAAACAGG